rnacentral:snRNA from 1 species
AUGCUUGCUUUGGUAGCACAUAUGCUAAAAUUGGAAUGAUACAGAGAAGAUUAGCAUGAAAAAGGAUGAAAAAAAAACCUAGGGAUGUGCACAAAAAAAAC